AUGGCCGCUCCGCUCCUCUGCCUCUUGGCCGUCCUCCUCCUAUCCACCGCGUCUGCGGAGUACCCGCAGGAGCUGCUUCGGCGCGCCGAGGGGGAGCGCGAGUGGAUUAUCGGCGUGCGGCGGCGCAUCCACGCCCACCCGGAGCUCGCGUUCCAGGAGCGCCGCACCAGCGCACUCGUCCGCGAGGAGCUCGAGGGGCUAGGGAUCACCGCCCGCGCCGUUGCCGGCACCGGCGUCGUCGCUGAUGUCGGCUUGGGCAUGCCCCCGAUCGUCGCCCUCCGCGCCGACAUGGACGCCCUGCCCAUCCAGGAACUGGUGGAGUGGGAGCAUAAGAGCAGAGUUGAUGGCAUGAUGCACGCGUGUGGCCAUGAUGCGCACACAGCGAUGCUCCUCGGAGCGGCAAAGUUGCUGCAUGAGCGCAAGGAUCAGCUUAAGGGAACUGUGAGACUCCUUUUUCAACCUGCUGAGGAGGGCGGUGCUGGUGCGUCUCAUAUGGUAAAAGAAGGUGUUCUUGAUGGUGUUGAAGCUAUAUUCGCCAUGCACGUCAAUUGUCAGAUUCCGACAGGUGCAAUAGCUGCUCACGCAGGGCCAACACAUGCAGCCGUGUGUUUCUACGUAGUGAAAAUAGAAGGUAAAACCGGGAAGGCUGAAACACCACACUUGAAUGUGGAUCCUAUUGUUGCUGCGGCAUUUACCAUCCUCUCCCUGCAACAGCUCACCUCGAGAGAAGAUGAUCCUCUUCACAGCCAAGUCCUCUCUGUUACCUAUAUUAAAGCUGGGAAUUCUACUGAUGCCACACCUUUAGUUGUUGAAUUCGGAGGCACUUUGAGGAGCCUCACUACUGAAGGACUUCAUCGGCUGGAGAAAAGGCUUAAGGAGGUAGUAGAAGGGCAGGCAGCUGUACAUAGAUGCAAGGGAGUUGCAGAGAUCCUGGGGGCUCCCUCCUACCCAAUGUAUCCUGCAGUCGUGAAUGACGAGAGGCUGCAUCGCCACGUCGAGAAUGUGGGCAGAAGUUUGCUUGGCCCAGACAAUGUGAAGCCGGGGGAGAAGAUCAUGGCAGGGGAAGACUUUGCUUUCUACCAACAGUUAGUUCCUGGCAUCAUAUUUGGUAUCGGUAUUAGAAACGAGAAAGUUGGUUCGGUGCACUGUUAUCACAACCCGCAUUUCUUCGUGGACGAGGAUGUCCUUCCAAUUGGAGUUGCAUUGCAUACUGCUACUGCAGAAAUGUAUCUCUCUGGGUGUUCCACUUGA
rnacentral:rRNA from 1 species